GCCGCGGUAAUACGGAGGAUGCGAGCGUUAUCCGGAUUUAUUGGGUUUAAAGGGUGCGCAGGCGGAAGAUCAAGUCAGCGGUAAAAUUGAGAGGCUCAACCUCUUCGAGCCGUUGAAACUGGUUUUCUUGAGUGAGCGAGAAGUAUGCGGAAUGCGUGGUGUAGCGGUGAAAUGCAUAGAUAUCCCUUAAAAACUCCGAUUGCGAAGGCAGCAUACCGGCGCUCAACUGACGCUUAUGCACGAAAGUGUGGGUAUCGAACAGGAUUAGAUACCCUGGUAGUCCACACAGUAAACGAUGAAUACUAAUUGUUCGGGGAGAAUGAUCCCUGAGUGAUACAGCGAAAGCGUUAAGUAUUCCACCUGGGGAGUACGCCGGCAACGGUGAAACUCAAAGGAAUUGACGGGGGUCCGCACAAGCGGAGGAACAUGUGGUUUAAUUCGAUGAUACGCGAGGAACCUUACCCGGGCUCAAACGACACAGGAAUACUUUUGAAAGGAGGUAGCUCUUCGGAGCCUGUGUCGAGGUGCUGCAUGGUUGUCGUCAGCUCGUGCCGUGAGGUGUCGGCUUAAGUGCCAUAACGAGCGCAACCCCCAUCGCCAGUUACCAGCAAGUCAAGUUGGGGACUCUGGCGAGACUGCCGGCGCAAGCUGUGAGGAAGGCGGGGAUGACGUCAAAUCAGCACGGCCCUUACGUCCGGGGCGACACACGUGUUACAAUGGCAGGUACAGAGAGAAGCAAUGCGGCGACGCAAAGCGGAACUUGAAAGCCUGUCUCAGUUCGGAUUGGAGUUUGCAGCUCGACUCCAUGAAGCUGGAUUCGCUAGUAAU
rnacentral:rRNA from 1 species